rnacentral:rRNA from 1 species
GAUGAACGCUGACAGAAUGCUUAACACAUGCAAGUCGAUGGGGAAGUGGUGCUUGCACCAUGGCAACCAUGGCGGACGGGUGGGUAACGCGUAAGGGACUUACCUGCAGGACUGGGAUAACAGGGGGAAACUCCUGACAAGACCGGAUAAUGUCAUGGAGCUGCAUGGCUUUAUGAUGAAAGGAGACGCCUGCGGAGAGCCUUGCGUCCUAUUAGCUAGUUGGUGAGGUAAUGGCUCACCAAGGCGAAGAUAGGUAGCCGGCCUGAGAGGGUGGACGGCCACAAGGGGACUGAGAUACGGCCCUUACUCCUACGGGAGGCAGCAGUGGGGAAUAUUGGACAAUGGGGGCAACCCUGAUCCAGCAAUUCUGCGUGCACGAAGAAGGUUUUCGGAUUGUAAAGUGCUUUCAGCAGGGAAGAAGUAAGUGACGGUACCUGCAGAAGAAGCGACGGCUAAAUACGUG